CCCAGACUGCGCUUGAACUUGCCAUCCUCCUGCCUCAGUCUCCCAGAGUGCUAGGAUAACAGGCAUUUGAGCCAUAUGACUUCUGAGUCUGCCUCCUGCUCUCCUGCUACCUUUGAUGCUCACUGGCUAUUGCUGUGGUUCAUUUCCUGUUAAGUGCAACUCUGGAAUUAAGUGCACGCACGAGGUGGAAGCAAAUGAAAGGCCCAGGCCUGUUCAGAGUGGUUGUCAGCUAACACCCUGCUGGUGGAUAAGCAUCUGCGAGCUGUGUGGGAAACAAGGCCUGGUGUAAUUAGAACAUGGUGCCGUAACAACAUUACUCAAGAAAGCUCGGGACCGCUUGCCAGAGUACAUAAUGACCACCUCACCCACAGGCAUUUGGACUGCGAUUAGUGCUCCAUCUCAUCUGAGAGCCAGGCUUGGAGCCAGGGAAACUGGAAAAUGAUUUUUGCUUUUUAACUCCUUGGAGGCUUGUGUGGAAAGUUUAAGAAAGCAAAUUUUUGUUUCUACGGAACCGAACUCAAAUAUCAUUUGAGGAGGAGAAAAUGAAGUGGGAUAGUUCCCAUCCCACUGGCCUUGUUUGUGAGCUGCUCUUUCGUGGGAAAGAUUGUGUUCCACAGAUACAAACUGGCACUGGAUCCUAUCACUCUGCCAAAAAACCACACGGUCAUGGAUUUAGCUGCCUUGAAGCACUUUUUUGUUGUUACUGAUGAAAGAAAGUAGCUAAGCCAGGAGGCGGAAGACAGGCUUGGCGGGUGCCACUCUCCAGAGCAAGCCUGAAGUGAGGGCCACCACUCUCUGUCCCAUUUAAAAGGAUCUCCCUGCUGUACCCAUGUCAUUAUCAAAACAGAGCCUGCUCUCAAUAAAUGCUUCCCCGGAGCUGCAGCUCUGAAGUACAGUGCCUGGCCAUGGAUGUUGGCUGAGGAGGGAAGUGGACCAGCCAAGCCUACGACAACUUGACAGAGGGAAGCUGACGGGUCCAAAGGAGUCUGGAGCCAACUUGAAGCAGCCCUCACUGGACAUUAGGUAAAUCUGAGCUUCAAUAAGAAAUAUAAUGGCAGUAAAUGAAGACACAGGAAAUGCUAAGAGGCCAUGAGUUAAUAAUGUUACUUGAAAGAAAAAAGGCCAGGGAGAAGAUGCUGUGAAACCCAGUUCAUUCUUUGGAAGACAGGAGGGAAGAAUUAGGCAUCUAGCUUGCCUUUUCUGGGGGAUGAAAUAUGGGAUGGGGGUGUUGGGGUUACAUCUAGAUGUCCUGAAGGCCUGUGCGCUCACAGGUGGAGCUUUGGGAAGAGACUGGGUCUUGGGCUGUGGUCCUGGGUUGGUCCGCUGAUGGGCUUCUGGCUGGGUGUGAUGCUGGGGCUGAAGCCUGCUGGGGAGAGAUGGUCACUGGGGGCGUGGCCUGGAAGGGUCUGUCUCCCUCCUCCUCCCUUGAUCCCUCUCUGCUUCCU